GUCCAACCUGGCCUUGGACACUUCCAGGGAUCCAGGGGCAGCCACAGCUUCUCUGGGCAACCUGUGCCAGGGCCUCCCCACCUUCAUAUCUUCCUAUAUCUGAUCUAACCCUGCCCUCUGUCACUUCAAAUCCAUUCCCCCUUGUCCUAUCACUCCAGGCCCUUGGAAAUAAUCUCUAUCUUUCUUGCAGGCUCCCUUCAGGCACUGGAAGGCUGCAAUUAGGGAGCUUUCUCUUCUCCAGGCUGAAAUGACACCUUUUGUUAAAUAUUCUUAAAGUUUUUAAUAAAAAAGCCUCAGGAAGGAAAUACAAAGUUUACUGUAAACCUGCAGAGGGAACCAGCUGCUUUAAGGCUUCCACAGCACAUCAAUCUCCUACAGCAUUUAUUCCUUGUGCGUAACCAGCUCUGGCAUUAUAGGAUUUUUCUUUUGCAUCAUCACCACAAAGGAAACCUCCACAACGAAAAUAAUGCUUUAUAAAGGCACCAACACAUAGGUUUAAAACACUUUACUGGAGGAACACACGAGGAAGCUGCAGACCACGUUCAAGUGCCUGAGAGCUGUGACUGAGCCAACAGGAAACCCUGACUGCUCACUGAACAGUCAAGAAUAACUGAAGAUAAACUCCCCAGUUGUUUAGAUUUCAGAUAUGGCUCUUCCCUACAGAGCCCUAUUGCUCAAACCCUGCCCAGGAAUAUGCACCUGGGGUUUUACAGCCCCUCAUGCCAUCUGCACUGCUUGGCCCUGCUCCCUUCCCUCCCCACACCAUCAACACGCAGUGCCACGUUCCCAGAUGUGGGAACAUAUGACUGUACCUCACUCUCCGGAACUGGGUGCCAACAGCCAGUACCAUGGGGAAAAAUGAAUGGCUGAGGUGCUGCACUGGGACUGCAGCUGACUGGGGCUGCAGCCUGACCUGCUGGCACUUGUGCCCCGGCUGCUUAAAUGAAAUGCCUCUCACUUUGCAGCUUUGCAUUAGAAGUGUAGCUCAAACAUUAUCCUUGUCCAAAAAGGAUCUCUGCUGCAGCAAAGCUUCGGGCUGUUGUGUGACUGUCAGGGAACUGCAAACAGCCUUUGCAGUACCGCUGUUACCUCAGUGCUGCCAAAGCAGCCCCAGGGCCGGCCAGAGGCUCAGAGACCCCCCGGGCCGGAGGGUGACACUGAGCAUCGCCGCGACAGCCGCGGGCAGCCCCGACCCGCCACCGCCGCGCUGUCACCGCGAUUAACUCAACAUCAAUGCGUGCUGCAGCAGGAUGACAAACAGGUUCUGGAACGAAACUGUGCUGCUUCCACUUCCCCAGUGGCCGCGAUGAAGCCGGGAUCGCCCUGCCACCUCGCGGGAGGGACCGGGGUGCGCUGGGGAGCCGCUCCCACCCCGCUCCCACCCCGCCCGGGCGGUCCCUCCUCCCGGACCGCGGUGCAAACAAAGCUCAGGCAGCGCUGCCGCUGCUCUUUGGUGCUGCUCCCUCGGGUGCUUUUGGAAAACUGAGCUUCUGAUGUGACGCGCUGGACGGGCACGUCUGCCCUUUCUCCUUGGCAUCAGAGUGUGCCUGCGGACACAAGGCUAAAUUCAGAUAACACUGUAAAGACUCUCUAAUCCUGCUAAUGUCCAAAUCAAUGGCUUUGCCACGAACUUCCCUGGAAAUGAAGUCGACGGUUGAAACAACUUUUACUGAAAAUAUGUCUCAUCAAUAAACAGAAAAAUUAAG